GGAAAUGUAGCUCAACUGGUAGAGUAACUAUCUAACAUGUAAGAAGCCCUGGGUUCAGUCCCUAGCAUUUCAU
rnacentral:tRNA from 2 species